UGUAUAACUAGAAAACUUCUAUAAUUUGAAGUCUUGGCAGUACUGAAAUUUAGUAGAUAUUCGAUUAUAUGUACCAAUCAUGUAGGUAGAUUAUAAUUGCGUUGACAAUGGAUAAAGGUGAGUCAACCCUGUUCGGUUUUGGAAGUGAAAAAAGUAAUAACAAAUUAGGCUUCGCCGAAUUGCCCACGGCAGGCCUCACCGCGGGAGCGAUGUGAUGAGUCAGAAGAUCGACAGAUGGCUGGUGGCGAAGCCCCGCGAACAGAUCCGCAGGUCCGCCGCGCGGUGCCGCGUGACAGAGGAUCAAGGCAGGAUUAGCCACCAGGCGGAGGCGAAGAGCGAGAGAAGGGAACAGUUGACGCUGGACAGCCGAGUCGUAGAGGUGGCAGUGUCGAGUCUCUCUCUAGCCGUGUCGUGUCGUGUUAGUGUUCGUAGUUGUGAGUGUUAGGAGUUUUAGUUGUAGUCCUCUUACGUUCUUUCACCAUUACUUUCAGCUUUUUAAUACUUUUUAGUAAUACAUUAUUGUUUUGAAUUUCCCUUUCGAACUCAAGUAGUCACCCCCUUUCACCUGACAAAACUUUAGUCUUCCACUGGAUGAUAUUUUUCAUGAAAUAUCCAAUUGUUUUGAUGGUCCUGUAGUGCAGCGCGCUCCCGCUAGAGGUCACUUUUAUCAAUCAGCUGUUCAGAGCUCUCGUACCUUAUAGUGAGUGGACGGUCCUUUGCCAGUCCGAGUUCAGGUCGAAUCCCGCGUGAGUAUCCCGCGUCCCGCGUGUGUUUGUGAGUGACUUUUGUGUGAUACAACAUGAAGAUUACAACUGAAACAGCACCUGGUAUCUGACGCUGUCUCAGACUUGACUCCGAAUCUGGAAUCCAAAGAAAGUCAGUAACGAGUAACGAGAAGUCCAAAGAGAACCUUUACAUUGUUUCGACAUCAGAGACACCUAUAAAUAGGUGAAGUGGCAGUCUGAAUGUCUCAUCAGGUACACAAUAGCUAAACAUAACAAUGUGAUCCAACUAGCUCAGCGCUAUUGUCACUACAGAGCAGCAAUAGACAGACGCGCACUGCGUCCUGUGUUGCUCUGAUAUCUACAGAACCCUACGCCAUUCUUUGUAUCCGGAGCUUGCACGCAAUUCGUACUUUUCGUUGUGAUAAAUGUGAACAGUGGUAGAGGGGGGGGGGUUGAAUUCUAAGGAUUAUUAUUUUCAGGUCACUUUUAAAGUUAAUUUUUAAUUCCUAACCUUCAGAAGGCACUCAUGUAGAUAUUUAUUCUUCAACAGGCACACAUACGUAUACUGGACCCAAUUAAAAAUGUAAAUAUAAAUAAAUUGCAUUUAUAUAAUUUUGGUUUCUUUAAAUUCUUUCCUUAGACUAUUAGUGUGUGCGAGCUGUGUAAUGUACUGGGUAAAAACAAUAAAUAAAAUAAUUAUAAAUUUGUUGUAAAAAAUGCUGUAAUUUUGAUGAAAAAUAUAAACUCUGAAAAUAGCCACGUGUAUGAGUGUUUAAAGGUUUUUUACGCAAACUAUCCACUCUGUUAUGUGUUAAAACAAUGCAUAAAUGUAUUUAUUACAUCGCAAUUAUUACUUAUCUUACACAAAGUUGCAAACAUGGUCAAAAUUUGACCAUCAAAACUAAGGCUAUAUAAUUCGUUGGUUUUAUAAUAUUGUUUUUAUUAGUUAUUGAUUAAAAACUAUCUUUGAUCUGUAAAAAAAACUUAUUUUACGAAUAAAAAAAUUUAAUUGCAACCAAUACAAUGAAAUUCUGAAAUUGAAGAAAAACACACCUUAAACGGCACACAUGG